ACACAUGCAAGUCGAGCGAAGCACUUUGCUUAGAUUCUUCGGAUGAAGAGGAUUGUGACUGAGCGGCGGACGGGUGAGUAACGCGUGGGUAACCUGCCUCAUACAGGGGGAUAACAGUUAGAAAUGACUGCUAAUACCGCAUAAGACCACAGCACCGCAUGGUGCGGGGGUAAAAACUCCGGUGGUAUGAGAUGGACCCGCGUCUGAUUAGCUAGUUGGUAAGGUAACGGCUUACCAAGGCGACGAUCAGUAGCCGACCUGAGAGGGUGACCGGCCACAUUGGGACUGAGACACGGCCCAAACUCCUACGGGAGGCAGCAGUGGGGAAUAUUGCACAAUGGGGGAAACCCUGAUGCAGCGACGCCGCGUGAGCGAAGAAGUAUUUCGGUAUGUAAAGCUCUAUCAGCAGGGAAGAAAAUGACGGUACCUGACUAAGAAGCACCGGCUAAAUACGUGCCAGCAGCCGCGGUAAUACGUAUGGUGCAAGCGUUAUCCGGAUUUACUGGGUGUAAAGGGAGCGUAGACGGAUGGGCAAGUCUGAUGUGAAAACCCGGGGCUCAACCCCGGGACUGCAUUGGAAACUGUUAAUCUAGAGUGCUGGAGAGGUAAGUGGAAUUCCUAGUGUAGCGGUGAAAUGCGUAGAUAUUAGGAGGAACACCAGUGGCGAAGGCGGCUUACUGGACAGUAACUGACGUUGAGGCUCGAAAGCGUGGGGAGCAAACAGGAUUAGAUACCCUGGUAGUCCACGCCGUAAACGAUGACUACUAGGUGUCGGGUGGCAAAGCCAUUCGGUGCCGCAGCAAACGCAAUAAGUAGUCCACCUGGGGAGUACGUUCGCAAGAAUGAAACUCAA
rnacentral:rRNA from 1 species